rnacentral:rRNA from 1 species
CCCGGUGGCCACAGCAGGGUGGACACACCCGUUCCCAUCCCGAACACGGAAG